GUAAGGAGUAAAUGCAAUAUAACAAGAGUCAGCAGGAAACGGAAAUGGCAAGACUGGUUGAAGAACCCAGUAAGGAGUAAAUGCAAUAUAACAAGAGUCAGCAGGAAACGGAAAUGGCAAGACUGGUUGAAGAACCCAAAAGGACAAGUUAUGUAGAUUCAGCAAGACAAGGAAGAAUAGAAGAACGAACUGAGAGUGGACAAAGAUUUGCAGUUUCUCAAUAGCGAAGAUGACCAGUGUUAAAAACAAAAAGAGGAAAAAAAUGGCAGUUUGAAGCGGUAUGACAUUAUGAAUAUUAUU